ACUUCUUAUAAUUAGCAGAAUAUUCACUCAUGGAGAUGCUAAAGAGGAGAUUUUAUCCAGAUCGGUAAGACAAGCACAACCGUUAAGACAAACCGCUAUGGCAUUAGAUCAAAUUUUUGAGUAUCUUCGGCUAAUGGCCAUAGAGGAAAGGCGAAUGGCUGAAGAAGCUUUGAAAGCUCUCAGAAACGGGACUGAAAGUGGAUGAUCAGUAACAACAAGUGUUCAACAACUAUUAAGGGUGAAGGGUUCCAUGACUAUGAAAAAAGUUUGAAGCUUAUGAAACAAUUUUCAAAUCCAAAUGUAAAGUUUUAUGGAAAUUAAAUAAUUUUCAAAAA